CCGGGACCCACGGCCGCGCCAGCCUGGCCACGAGUGGGAGCGCGUCGCGACCGCCAGGGGCUGUGAGGCGAUGGCAGGUUACAAGUGCGAGACUCCAGCGAGGUGCGGGCGAAGGUGGGGGGGCAGCAACGCGACCGUGGCUUCUGCUCUGCGGAUGAUUAAAAUGGGUGAUUCUUCAUAAGAGACGUGGUAGUCAGAUUUAUUGGGUGGAAGAAUGCUGCCUUCUCUCUACCUGAAUCCUUAAGAAGCAGUGCAAAGACUGCCUUUGCUCCUCUGUGCCUUGUUUCGUGGGGAAAGCAUACUGAGUACUUUAAUGAAUAGAACUGCAAUGUCUGAUGUAGAAACUAGAAUAUUUAAUGAAUAAAUAAUACAUUUAAAAUAUCUAAUGUAAAACAUAAUACAUUUAUAUAAAUAUCACCUACGUAAUAUUUAUUAUGUUAAAGGAAAAAUUGCUUGCUAUGUCUGACAGGCAUUUUAUAAUUGUAAUUAUAUGCAAAAUCAGAAAUUGUAUUCAGGAUAGUAACUAUCUAAUAAAGGGAUUAUAUUCUGUU